ensembl:lncRNA
GGGCUGGAGAAAUGGCUCAGCGGUUAAGAGCACCAACUGCGGGGUUGGGGAUUUAGCUCAGUGGUAGAGCGCUUGCCUAGGAAGCACAAGGCCCUGGGUUCGGUCCCCAGCUCCGAAAAAAAAAAAGAGCACCGACUGCUCUUCCAGAGGUCCUGAGUUCAAUUCCCAGCAACCACAUGGUGGCUCACAACCAUCUGUAAUGGGAUCUGAUGUCCUCUUCAUGAAAUAAAUAAAAUCUUAAGAAAGAAGGAAAAAAAGAAAGAGGGAGAGAAAGAAAGAAAGAAAGAAAGAAAGAAAGAAAGAAAGAAAGAAAGAAAGAAAGAAAGAAAACAGUCAGCUAGAAUUGUAGUCCAAGUAGUACCAGCAUUGCUGACAGGAAACCCCCUGGAACUCCAGGCCUCUAGUUACGGUCUGAGAGGAACAUAAUCCUACUUCCCAGCGAUCUGCAGAAUGAGGUCAAGCAGGACGUUUUCUACAGCAGCCAACGUUCCAGGCAAAGGUGUCUGUUGAAUUCUGCAAAAGUGAGUCAUUUCAGCUGGUUGGUCACAGAGUUCACACAAGCAGCAUGUGUCCUGGGGCCUUAAAAAACAAAACAAAACACAAGUAGGGGUUUUCCCCUCUCACAUUCCGCUGGUAGGGAAAGAGGCCAUGAGAGGGUUAGAGUGAGUAUCAGCAAAGAGAGUUGGCUUGGCCCCUGUAAAGAGAGGUUGCUAGCCGGGCACACGGACAACUGUCUAUAAUGUCAGCAAAUGGGAGGAGGAAAUUGGAAGAUCAGACAUCUGGAGCAUGUGAAGCCAGCCUGACCAAAAGCAAAACCAAGCCAAGGGCAGGGAUUGAACUGAGGCCAUCCGAUUUGGCGCCAAGGACCUUUACCUGCCGAGUCACUUCCCUGCCUCUGUGUUCAGAUUCUUUACAUGCGUUUAAAGCUGGCGACACCAGAACAUGCACUUUAUCGUAACGGAUCUAUUCCAGAACAUCUUUCUAGAGCUCAGCAGUGAAAACUUGCAUUCCCGCUCAGCAGUGAAAACUUGCAUUCCCGGAGCCACCAUUUCAGACUGAUUUUCUCUGAACACAAAACAGACGGUUUGCCCUGAAAUCACUGGGGGAUAAUGGAAGCUGCAGGUUUUGCGAUGAUCUUUAUCUGCGGUGCCCCUGGCACUGGCUUGGGGUUUAGGCAAACAGAGGCUCCAGAGUGCCUUGCAAUAAAACCUGGGAGCUUCCUGGUUGCUGGUAACAGUAACUACUACCAUCAGCAAGAGCUACCACAGAGCCCCAAAGACUCAGUCUUUCACAGGACCCUGGGAAGCCUGGCGCUGGGUUUCUAAUUUCAGACACAACGGAGAUAAAGCACAAAGGCUUUCUGCAAGGAAACUGUCUUCCAGACACAGCGGGACUGACACACAGAGAAUUCACAGAGGAGGAGGCAGCAUGCACAGGCCUGCCCAGGUUCCUGCUACACAGGGUCCUCUCACAGAGCAGGGGAAGUGGACACCGGAUCUCAUCCGUGACCGAGAAGCUAUUUACAGUUAAUACCCCCUGGCAAAGGGAAAAUCAAUUUUCCCCAAUAGAGUAUCACCGGGUUUAUCAACCACACUCCAGGGCAUGUCUUUUUGCCCAGAAAUGGCCAAUACGAAAUGGACUCCAUAUUUGUUUGUAUCUGGGAGCAGGGAGGCAUUUUCUUCUCUCUUUUUUUUUUUUUUUUUUUUUUUUGGUUCUCUUUUUCGGAGCUGGGGACCGAACCCAGGGCCUUGCGUUUCCUAGGUAAGCGCUCUACCACUGAGCUAAAUCCCCAGCCCCGGGAGGCAUUUUCUUACACUAUUUAGUUUUGUUUGGCUUUUUUUGUUGUUGUUUGGUUUUUCCAGGCAGGGUUUCUCCAAGUAGCUCGGGCUGUCCUGGAAUUUGCUCUUGAGAAGGCUGAUUCCACGACAGGCUCCAAAUUGGCAGUUAAAGACACUAGGCCUAAAAAUCCAGGCUUCAGGCAGCUAGUCAGAAACUGCCCCACCGCCUGGCCAGAAACAGGACAAUGGGUCAGCAGUUUCCAGCCAGCCCUCAUGCCCCAGUAAUAGAAUGUCCUUAGAGAUAGAGCAAGACAGAGUCCAAGCACAAAGUCCACUACCCCGGGAUUCUAAGGUGCUUUACAUUGGGUCUGCAAGCACACUUCCAGGGUCUCUCUUGGUAAUAGGGAGACCCCAGCAAGCUGGACUUCUGCAGAAUAAAACACUCCACGUUUACGUUCUCCAAUGGAUCAGGGACCCUUACACUCUGUAGAGCCGGCUGCCUCUGCCUUUGAGUGCUGAGGUUAAAGCAUCCAGCUUUACUUCACGUUUCAAGCAUUUAUUUUUACCUGGAUUUAUGCGUAUGCGUGUGUGAGUAUAUACCACGUAUUUUUGCGCAUCCGUGGGGGUUGGUAGAAGACAUGAGACCAUGGAGUUGUAAGUCAUCAGGUGUGGAUACUAGAAACCGAACUUGGGGUCCUCUGGAAAGCAGCGAGCGAGUGCUCUAACCACUGAACAUCUCUGCAGCCCCCAGAGUAGAUUUUGAACUUAUUUGUUUACUUGUUUGUUUGUUUGUUUGUUUAUGUGUAGCAGCAAAGAUGCACACUAGUCUGUGUGACCAUUUUCCUUCUAAAUCUGGUCAAGAACACAUUCUAAUUUCUUCUCAAUUCUGCCUCAUUUUAUUAGUGUCAGGGAGAAGCAGAAGGACACGGGGUUGUGUAUCUGACUCGGGCAUUUUAUUAAUUUUUAAUAUUUUUUACAUACGCACACAUGUCACAGCUCAUGUAGAAGGUAGACUACUCCUGUAUAUGGGGCUCAGGGAUGGAACGUGGGUCCUCAGGCUUCCCCACAAAUCAAUCUCUCUCUCUCUCUCUCUCUCUCUCUCUCUCUCUCUCUCUCUCUCUCUCUCUCUCUCAGCCUUGUGUUUCCUAGGCAAGCUUCAAGCUCCCUCUGCCCAGCACCAGGUCUGUUUUACCUGUGCUUACCUGGUGCUGUGGACUGAGCUGGGCCUGCACCCACAGCCUCCAGACUUGGGGAUUUUUAAAUAAUCCUAAACUUUUUUGUAACUGCCAGUCUUCUGUGAACAUCACUACCGAUUUCCACUCUCCUGUAUGCAUUUAGGAAGGCCAACCGGAAGAUUCCGUCUUGGGGUUUGUUCUCUAAUUUGUCUUUCAGAUAAAGGCAGAUGCAUGCAGAAGAUCAAAUUCAGCAGGGCAGUUGAAGGUUUUUCCAUGACUAAUGCGAGCAAAUUGCGUAAGUGCCUCUCCCACCCAUGCUUCCCCUCAAAUCCUUACUGGCUGCGGUAUUUCAUCCCGACUACCCGACCACCCGGCUCUCGCUUUAUCUGACACAUUUUCUAUUUUGCCUGAAGCUCUAAAGUCAGGUGAAGUGAAAGGUGGUGGCUGGAUUAAGAAUUAUCCCCUCCCUCCGCCCCUGCAACCUUGCUAGUCCGUCUCCUAGCAACUGUACGGUUUGUUGCUUAGCAACAAGAGAGGCAAGAGUGCUGCCCCUCCUGCGAGUCUAAAAAUACAGAAAACAUUAAAAAAAAAAAAAAGACUCAUCAGCGGGGUCUUUUAUUAAAUAUACUAAAUACAGAGACAAUCUUACAAGCGGGGGGGGGGCUUAGCGCAGGUGAACCUCUACAUCUCUUACAGCGUACAAUAAUAAUUUGUUGUACAUAGAAACAGAAGAAAGGUUUAAAAAAAAAAGAAAAGGACCUGCAGCCUUUUCUGAUCUUAUUGCUGCUGUGCAUCCAUAAUCAGUUCUUAAGUUCGAGGGAGGGGCAAGCUACCGGACAAUCAGCUGGUAAAGGUGCUGGCCGCUAAGCCUGACCAUAGCUGGACCACAUGGUUAGAGGAGAAAACCAACGCCCACAAGCUGUUCUCUGAGCUUAAUAUCUGUGGCACACACAUGAUACUCUAUAUUAAUUAAAU